rnacentral:rRNA from 1 species
CCUGCCGGACCUGACUGCUAUCGGAUUGAUACUAAGCCAUGCGAGUCUUUGUAGUAAUACAAGGCAGACGGCUCAGUAACACGUAGUCAACCUACCCUAUGGACAAGAAUAAUCUCGGGAAACUGGGCAUAAUUCUUGAUAGAUCAUAAUGCCUGGAAUGGUUUAUGGUUAAAAUGAUUCGUCGCCAUAGGAUGGGACUGCGGCCUAUCAGCUUGUUGGUGAGGUAAUGGCCCACCAAGGCGAUUACAGGUACGGGCUCUGAGAGGAGAAGCCCGGAGAUGGGUACUGAGACACGGACCCAGGCCCUAUGGGGCGCAGCAGGCGAGAAAACUUUGCAAUGUGCGAAAGCACGACAAGGUUAAUCCGAGUGAUUUCUGCUAAAGAAAUCUUUUGCCAGUCGUAAAACCGCUGGUGAAUAAGGGGUGGGCAAGUUCUGGUGUCAGCCGCCGCGGUAAAACCAGCACCUCAAGUGGUCAGGAUGAUUAUUGGGCCUAAAGCAUCCGUAGCCGGCUUUGUAAGUUUUCGGUUAAAUCCAUGUGCUCAACGCAUGGGCUGCCGAAAAUACUGCAUGGCUAGGGAGUGGGAGAGGUAGACGGUACUCAGUAGGAAGGGGUAAAAUCCUUUGAUCUAUUGAUGACCACCUGUGGCGAAGGCGGUCUACCAGAACACGUUCGACGGUGAGGGAUGAAAGCUGGGGGAGCAAACCGGAUUAGAUACCCGGGUAGUCCCAGCUGUAAACGAUGCAGACUCGAUGAUGCAUUGGCAUAAUAGCCAGUGCAGUGUCGCAGGGAAGCCGUUAAGUCUGCCGCCUGGGAAGUACGUACGCAAGUAUGAAACUUAAAGGAAUUGGCGGGGGAGCACCACAAGGGGUGAAGCCUGCGGUCAAU